GACGAACGCUGGCGGCGUGCUUAACACAUGCAAGUCGAACGAUGAAAUGGAGCUUGCUCCAUGGAUUAGUGGCGAACGGGUGAGUAACACGUGAAUAACCUGCCCUUAAUUUUGGAAUAACCCAGGGAAACCUGCGCUAAUACCGGAAAAGUAAACCUGUGGCAUCACAUGGUUUUGGAAAGUUUUGCGAUUAAGGAUGAAUGCGCGGCCUAUCAGCUUGUUGGUGAGGUAAUGGCUCACCAAGGCGACGACGGGUAGCCGGCCUGAGAGGGUGAACGGCCACACUGGGACUGAGACACGGCCCAGACUCCUACGGGAGGCAGCAGUGGGGAAUAUUGCGCAAUGGACGAAAGUCUGACGCAGCGACGCCUCGUGAGGGACGAAGGUCUUCGGAUUGUAAACCUCUUUCGGCAGGGAUGAAGCGAAAGUGACGGUACCUGCAGAAGAAGCACCGGCUAACUACGUGCCAGCCGCCGCAGUAA
rnacentral:rRNA from 1 species